rnacentral:rRNA from 1 species
AACGGCCGCGGUAUCCUAACCGUGCAAAGGUAGCAUAAUCACUUGCCUAUUAAUUGUAGGCUAGAAUGAAUGGGUUAACGAAAUAAAGACUGUCUCAAUUAAUCACCUAAAAAUUACUAUCUAUUUGAAGAAGAGUAGAUAAUCUCGAAGGACAAGAAGACCCUAUAGAGCUUAAUUUUAAUUAUAGAAAUAUACUAUAAAAAUAUUCGGUUGGGGCGACCCAGGGCUAAUCAAUCACCCACUACAUAAAAGAUAGAUUAAUCAAGUAAUUGACCCCUAAAAGAUCAUAAGAACAAGCUACCUUAGGGAUAACAGGCUAAUCCCACUCAAGAGUCCUUAUCAACAGUGGGGUUUGGCACCUCGAUGUUGGCUUAGG